rnacentral:rRNA from 1 species
CCUACGGGAGGCAGCAGUGAGGAAUAUUGGUCAAUGGACGCAAGUCUGAACCAGCCAUGCCGCGUGCAGGAAGACGGCUCUAUGAGUUGUAAACUGCUUUUGUACGAGAGUAAACGCAGAUACGUGUCUCUGUCUGAAAGUAUCGUACGAAAAAGGAUCGGCUAACUCCGUGCCAGCAGCCGCGGUAAUACGGAGGAUUCAAGCGUUAUCCGGAUUUAUUGGGUUUAAAGGGUGCGUAGGCGGUCGGAUAAGUUAGGGGUGAAAUCCCGAGGCUCAACUCCGGAAUUGCCUCUGAUACUGUUCGGCUAGAGAGUAGGUGCGGUAGGCGGAAUGUAUGGUGUAGCGGUGAAAUGCUUAGAGAUCAUACAGAACACCGAUUGCGAAGGCAGCUUACCAAGCUACUUCUGACGUUGAGGCACGAAAGCGUGGGGAGCGAACAGGAUUAGAUACCCCAGUAGUC